rnacentral:rRNA from 1 species
UACAGAGGUCUCAAGCGUUGUUCGGAUUCAUUGGGCGUAAAGGGUGCGUAGGUGGCGACGUAAGUCAGGUGUGAAAUUUCGGAGCUUAACUCCGAAACUGCAUUUGAUACUGCGGUGCUUGAGGACUGGAGAGGAGACUGGAAUUUACGGUGUAGCAGUGAAAUGCGUAGAGAUCGUAAGGAAGACCAGUGGCGAAGGCAGGUCUCUGGACAGUACCUGACACUGAGGCGCGAAGGCCAGGGGAGCAAACGGG